AUGAACGCUGGCGGCGUGCCUAAUACAUGCAAGUCGCGCGAACAGACGAGGAGCUUGCUCCUCUGACGUUAGCGGCGGACGGGUGAGUAACACGUGGAUAACCUACCUAUAAGACUGGGAUAACUUCGGGAAACCGGAGCUAAUACCGGAUAAUAUAUUGAACCGCAUGGUUCAAUAGUGAAAGACGGUUUUGCUGUCACUUAUAGAUGGAUCCGCGCCGCAUUAGCUAGUUGGUAAGGUAACGGCUUACCAAGGCAACGAUGCAUAGCCGACCUGAGAGGGUGAUCGGCCACACUGGAACUGAGACACGGUCCAGACUCCUACGGGAGGCAGCAGUAGGGAAUCUUCCGCAAAGGGCGAAAGCCUGACGGAGCAACGCCGCGUGAGUGAUGAAGGUCUUCGGAUCGUAAAACUCUGUUAUUAGGGAAGAACAAAUGUGUAAGUAACUAUGCACGUCUUGACGGUACCUAAUCAGAAAGCCACGGCUAACUACGUG
rnacentral:rRNA from 1 species